rnacentral:rRNA from 1 species
UACAGAGGUGGCAAGCGUUGUUCGGAAUUACUGGGCGUAAAGCGUGCGCAGGCGGUUCGUGAUGUCUGAUGUGAAAGCCCCGGGCUCAACCUGGGAAUGGCAUUGGAAACUGGCGAGCUAGAGUGUGGCAGAGGGGGGUGGAAUUCCGCGUGUAGCAGUGAAAUGCGUAGAGAUGCGGAGGAACACCGAUGGCGAAGGCAGCCCCCUGGGCUGACACUGACGCUCAGGCACGAAAGCGUGGGGAGCAAACAGG